rnacentral:rRNA from 1 species
CGGGGGGAGCAAGCGUUGUUCGGAUUUACUGGGCGUAAAGGGCGCGUAGGCGGCGCAACAAGUCACUUGUGAAAUCUCCGGGCUUAACCCGGAGCGGCCAAGUGAUACUGUCGUGCUAGAGUGCGGAAGGGGCUACUGGAAUUCUCGGUGUAGCGGUGAAAUGCGUAGAUAUCGAGAGGAACACCUGCGGCGAAGGCGGGUAGCUGGGCCGACACUGACGCUGAUGCGCGAAAGCCAGGGGAGCGAACGGGAUUAGAUACCCCGGUAGUCCCGGCCUUAAACGAUGGAUACUUGGUGUCCGGGGUUACAUAGUCCCCGGGUGCCGGCGCUAACGCAUUAAGUAUCCCGCCUGGGGAGUACGGUCGCAAGACUG